GACGCGGGCAAGGCCGGGGCGCACGCGCUGGAGCCGCACUACCGGCCCCCGGGCGGCGGCUACGAGCCCAAGAAAGAGACCAGCGAGGGCUGUGCGGUGGUUGGCGCAGGCGUCCAGCCCUACCUAUAGAAUGACCCAGCUCAGCCGUGCAAGUAGGUGUCACAAUUGCUUUGGAAAAUCAAAGUCAGGAGGCCAUUCUGUCUUCCUAAGCUCAUAAAUGCAAAGAUAUAUAUAUAUAAAUAUAUUAUAUCGAUCUAUCUAUAUCUAUAUAUAUAUAAGGCAGAUCUCUAAAUCCGGACCACAUCUGUGCCACUGUAAAAGAGAAGGACCGGUUCGGCACUGUCAACCCUCAGACUCUGACGGACUGGACACAGUGCUGGUGACAGCCCUGAACCUGUUGGCGUAGUGUAGCUUCCCUGAUGUUUGUGUGACUUUUGGAAACAAUCUGUUUUCUCUCAGGAUAUCUUGAUCACUUCACAGCCACGGUCUAUAGUCUAUAGGUGUGAUAGGAUUUACUGUAAAAAAAUUAUUUGUAAAAGAUGUACACAGUAGAAAUAAAACGUGAUUGAAGAACUUGAGUACUUCAGGCGUGGAAACAAAUUUGAUAUUUAUUUUUAUAAUGAUAUAGAGCUUCUAGUAAUUUAUGCAAGUUCUAUUGCAAUGCGAUCUAAACUUUUUGUAAAUAAAUUCUGCCUGGUUUUUAUUUGACCAUUGCUGGUUAUACAAUCUUUGUUGGUUGUUUAACAUGAAUUCUUUACUAAUUUAUAUCUUAAAUUGUAAAUAAAAACAGACUAGAUUACAAUCCUCAGGUGUUCCGGGCUCUUUAUUCCUGAAUGAUGUGGGUCCGGAGCCCUGGGGACGGUAGCCUCCAGGUAAUGAGUUCACCUGUUUAAUGAAAAGCUGACCCUGUGAAGUCCUCUCUCCUUUAUGCUCUCAGAGAAAAGCAGAUGGGGGAGAAAUACACAGUGGGAAGACUGAAUUGGUUCUAGAUUAUUUAUAUAUAAAUGUAUUACAAGAACAUAAAGAAUUAUGUGCUCUGAAUAUGCAAAUUCCAUGCUAGUGUAAAUUUC